GACGAACCGUGCGAACGUUAUUCGGAAUCACUGGGCUUAAAGGGCGCGUAGGCGGGUCACCAAGUCCGGGGUGAAAUCCCACGGCCCAACCGUGGAAGUGCCUUGGAUACUGGUGACCUCGAGGGGGGUAGGGGCGUGCGGAACUCAGGGUGGAGCGGUGAAAUGCGUAGAUAUCCUGAGGAACACCGGUGGCGAAAGCGGCGUGCUGGACACCUUCUGACGCUGAGGCGCGAAAGCCAGGGGAGCGAACGGG
rnacentral:rRNA from 1 species